GAACGUAUAGCUCAAGUGGUAGAGUGCAUGCUUAGCAUGCAUGAGGUCCUACGUUCA
rnacentral:tRNA from 1 species